rnacentral:rRNA from 1 species
GAUGAACGCUAGCUACAGGCUUAACACAUGCAAGUCGAGGGGAAACGAUAGAGAAAGCUUGCUUUUUCUAGGCGUCGACCGGCGCACGGGUGAGUAACGCGUAUCCAACCUGCCCAUCACUUGGGGAUAACCUUGCGAAAGUAAGACUAAUACCCAAUGAUAUCUCUAGAAGACAUCUGAAAGAGAUUAAAGAUUUAUCGGUGAUGGAUGGGGAUGCGUCUGAUUAGCUUGUUGGCGGGGUAACGGCCCACCAAGGCGACGAUCAGUAGGGGUUCUGAGAGGAAGGUCCCCCACAUUGGAACUGAGACACGGUUCAAACUCCUACGGGAGGCAGCAGUGAGGAAUAUUGGUCAAUGGGCGAGAGCCUGAACCAGCCAAGUAGCGUGAAGGAUGAAGGUCCUACGGAUUGUAAACUUCUUUUAUACGGGAAUAAAGUUUCCUACGUGUAGGAUUUUGUAUGUACCGUAUGAAUAAGGACCGGCUAAUUCCGUG